UUCCCAGCCUCCAGAACUGCAAUAAACUUCUGUUGUUUAUAAGCCACCCAGUGUAUGGUAUUCGGUUAUAGCAGGCUGAAUGGACGAAGACGCUCUCAACAACUCCACCAGAUCCUGUCACGCACAGAUUCUGCCUCCCAUGCCAGAAGGUUUUGAAUUCCCUGCGGAUGCAGCAAAGUACACAUCCACAGUUCCUGGAAUGGUUUCCAAGGCUGUGACUAACUAGCAAAACGCAGAGCUGAAAACUGUCUGGUGAGUGAGAAAAAGCAGGCAGCCCAUCCGUAGUGGGUUGAAAUUGCACAUCUCCCGAGCCAAUUGCCAGUAUUACUGCCUUUACCCUCGACUUAAUUUUGUCUUUAUAGAGACACUAUCAACCUGGAGAUGUCUGAAUAUACUUUCAUGGGAUUAGCACAGCUUUACAGGAACGGGAAAGGAGUCGGUGUGAUGGCUCCCGGGCACUCCCCACAGCGGUCCCCUCGUCAGGCGGGUCCCCUGUUCAGGCUAGCCUCAUGCCCUGCGUGGAGGUGUGCUGAUACCUCCAGAAGACGUGGGCAUGCUGCAGACCCUUCCCAUGUGCUGAGCACUUCUCUCCACACUCUCCUCUUCUGGAGGCUCCUGCAAAGCCUGUCACUGAGGCGUGGGCAGAGCUCUGCAUCGGGAACCCAGCCCAGGCCCCUUUCCUACUUUGAGCAGGUCUGGCUGAACCUAUUCUUUCAACUGGGCUGCAGGUCACUUCUGGGAACAAUUUUAGAAGAGUUAUUUAUACCCUUCCCUGUAAGAGCAGAGAUCUGGGUUCCAGACCCACUUGACAAUGUAUUGCUCAUUUAGACGUUUCUGAGCGACAUUUUACGGUUUCAGAAUAGGUCCGAAAGCCCACGGCAGUC